AGUGAACGCUGGCGGUAGGCCUAACACAUGCAAGUCGAACGGCAGCACAGUAAGAGCUUGCUCUUACGGGUGGCGAGUGGCGGACGGGUGAGGAAUACAUCGGAAUCUACUUUUUCGUGGGGGAUAACGUAGGGAAACUUACGCUAAUACCGCAUACGACCUACGGGUGAAAGCAGGGGAUCUUCGGAUCUUGCGCGAUUGAAUGAGCCGAUGUCGGAUUAGCUAGUUGGCGGGGUAAAGGCCCACCAAGGCGAAGAUCCGUAGCUGGUCUGAGAGGAUGAUCAGCCACACUGGAACUGAGACACGGUCCAGACUCCUACGGGAGGCAGCAGUGAGGAAUAUUGGACAAUGGGCGCAAGCCUGAUCCAGCCAUACCGCGUGGGUGAAGAAGGCCUUCGGGUUGUAAAGCCCUUUUGUUGGGAAAGAAAAGCAGCAGGUUAAUACCCCGCUGUUCUGACGGUACCCAAAGAAUAAGCACCGGCUAACUUCGUG
rnacentral:rRNA from 1 species